GUCCGUCUGUCACCAGGCUGUAUCUCAUGAACCGCGAUAGCUAGACAGUUGAAAUUUUCACAAAUGAUGUAUCUCUUAAAAAAAGCGACCAAGUGCGAGUCGGACUCGCCCAUGAAGGGUUCCGUAUUUAGGCGAUUUAUGACGUAUUAAAAAAAAACUACUUACUAGAUCUCGUUCAAACCAAUUUUCGGUGGAAGUUUACAUGGUAAUGUAUAUCAUAUAUUUUUUUUAGUUUUAUCAUUCUGUUAUUUUAGAAGUUACAGGGGGGGGGGACACACAUUUUACCACUUUGGAAGUGUCUCUCGCGCAAACUAUUCAGUUAGAAAAAAAUGAUAUUAGAAACCUCAAUAUCAUUUUUGAAGACCUAUCCAUAGAUACCCCACA